rnacentral:rRNA from 1 species
GUGACCCUACGGGGCGCAGCAGCCGCGGUAAUACGUAGGUCCCGAGCGUUGUCCGGAUUUAUUGGGCGUAAAGCGAGCGCAGGUGGUUUAUUAAGUCUGGUGUAAAAGGCAGUGGCUCAACCAUUGUAUGCAUUGGAAACUGGUAGACUUGAGUGCAGGAGAGGAGAGUGGAAUUCCAUGUGUAGCGGUGAAAUGCGUAGAUAUAUGGAGGAACACCGGUGGCGAAAGCGGCUCUCUGGCCUGUAACUGACACUGAGGCUCGAAAGCGUGGGGAGCAAACAGGAUUAGAAACCCCGGUAGUCCUG